rnacentral:rRNA from 1 species
AUUGAACGCUGGCGGCAGGCCUAAAACAUGCAAGUCGAGCGAGCGGCGGAAGGGUGAGUAAUGUAUGGGGAUCUGCCUGAUGGAGGGGGAUAACUACUGGAAACGGUAGCUAAUACCGCAUACCAUCAGAUGAACCCAUAUGGGAUUAGCUAGUAGGUAAGUUAACGGCUUACCUAGUCGACGAUCCCUAGCUGGUCUGCGAGGAUGAUCAGCCACACUGGGACGGAGAAACGGCCCAGACUCCUACGGGAGGCAGCAGUGGGGAAUAUUGCACAAUGGGCGAAAGCCUGAGGCAGCCAUGCCGCGUGUAUGAAGAAGGCCUUAGGGUUGUAAAGUACUGUCAGUGAGGAGGCGUUACUCGCAGAAGAAGCACCGGCUAACUCCGUGCCAGCCGCCGCGGUAAUAC